GACGAACGCUGGCGGCGUGCUUAACACAUGCAAGUCGAACGGAAAGGCCCUGCUUUUGUGGGGUGCUCGAGUGGCGAACGGGUGAGUAACACGUGAGUAACCUGCCCUUGACUUUGGGAUAACUUCAGGAAACUGGGGCUAAUACCGGAUAGGAGCUCCUGCUGCAUGGUGGGGGUCGGAAAGUUUCGGCGGUUGGGGAUGGACUCGCGGCUUAUCAGCUUGUUGGUGGGGUAGUGGCUUACCAAGGCUUUGACGGGUAGCCGGCCUGAGAGGGUGACCGGCCACAUUGGGACUGAGAUACGGCCCAGACUCCUACGGGAGGCAGCAGUGGGGAAUAUUGCACAAUGGGCGGAAGCCUGAUGCAGCAACGCCGCGUGCGGGAUGACGGCCUUCAGGUUGUAAACCGCUUUCGCCUGUGACGAAGCGUGAGUGACGGUAAUGGGUAAAGAAGCACCGGCUAACUACGUG
rnacentral:rRNA from 1 species